AAGUCUAAAUUGUGCUAGCUUUCUUCUUUUGCAUUAAAAUGUAUCAUGCAUACUCUUCCUUAUGUUUUUCAUACAUAUUUGGAGAAUAGAGGGAAAUCAUGGACUUCUUUGAAUCAAAGUAUUAAGUUAAAUGAAGAAGAAUGGAAAAACACUAAUUUUGGUAAGGAGUCAACUAAAAAAUCGAAAGAAUUUUUUGAUAUUUGGAAUUUCUUUAUAAAGAAAGGACAGGUCAAGAUGGCAUACAAAUUGCAAAGUGCAAGGGAUGCAAUAAAGAGCAUAAAUGUGGUGGGGUAGAAAGUAUGAGACUUCUACAUUAAGGCACCUCAAGGAUAACUGCAAAAUGUUAAAGUUCAAUGAUAUAGAACAAAUGUUUCUUGAUCAUGAAAAGAAAAUAAGGUCUAAGUCAAUAAACCAAAAGGUUGCACGUGACUUACUAGAUGAUGCAGUUAUAAAACAUGAUUUGCCAUUUUCAUUUGUUGAAUGUAAUGGCAUUAGAGCUUGGAUAAAAUAUGUAAAUCCUAAUGGUACUUGCAUUUCUAGAAAUACUCUUGUUUUUGAUAUCACAAGAAUAUAUAUGAGAGAAAAAGAGAAACAUAAGUAUGUUUUGGUUAAAAUUCAAAACAAAAAAAAAAAAUUUGCUUAACUUUAUAUGUGUGGACUAUAUGCACUAGUGAGGCCUACAUUUACUUGAUUGGAUAUUUUGUUGUCAAAAAUUGGUAAUUGAAUAAUAAAAGUAUUAACUUUGCUGAAAUGCCUCCUCCAUAGUCAGGAGUUGAAUUGGCUGUAAAGUUAUUUGAAUUUUUGAAGGAAUAGGGAAUUAAAAAAAAAUGUUUUCUUUGACAUUAGAUAAUGCAUCCAACAAUGAUAAUAUACAAGAUAUUCUGAAAGAGCAGCUCGCUUUACAUGAUAUUUUGCAGUGUGAUGGUGAAUUUUUUCAUAUCCAUUGUUCCACUCAUAUAUUGAAUCUCAUUAUGCAAGAAGGUUUGAAAGUUGCUAGUGAUGCUUUGCAUAAAAUCAAAGAAUUUGUCAAAUAUGUGUGAGGUUCAUAAAGUAGAAUGAAAAAUUUGAAGAAUGUAUGAGAGUAAUUGGUAGCAUUGACGCUAAUAUUGACUUGCGAUUGGAUGUGGCUACCCGUUGGAAUUUGAUAUAUUUGAUGUUGGAUAGUGUCAUUAAAUAUAAAAGGGCUUCUGUUUCUCUUAAAUUGAAUGAUAGAAAUUAUAAGUAUAUUGUCCUUCAAAUAAAAAAUGGAAAUGAUGAGAGAAAAUAUACCAGUUCUUGGAGGCAUUUUAUGAUAUUACCAACUUGAUCUCUGGUUCUUCUCAUCCUAUAUCGAACUUGUAUUUAUAGAAGUUUGGAAGAUUGAUGUUUUAUUUAAAGAAAACUUGUCAAGUGAAGAUGUGGAGAUAAGUGAUAUGUGUAGGAUGAUAAAAGAAAAUUUUGAUAACUAUUAGAGACAAUAUAGUAUGGUGAUUGCAUUUGGGGCUAUUCUUGAUCCACGAAUCAAGUUGUCAAUGUUGGAGCAUUUUUAUGAGAAGGUUGAGAGUAAUCCUACUACAUGCCAAGAAAGGUGUUGCUUGUGUGGACAAAGCUAUACAAGAUUUUUGAGCAUUAUUCUAAGGCUAAUAACUCAUGUCUUUCACAACUACAAUCUUCUUCUAUCAUUGCACCUACAUCUAUACAAAGCCAUGGCGGAAUUAAAAGUAAGGGCAAAAGAAUCUUUGAUGAAAUUAAAGCAUUUGAGAUCCAGUCAAUUACAAAUGCAGGGAAAUCUCAAUUAGAUCUUUAUUUGGAAGAGUCAAAGCUUAAAUUUUCAUAUUAUGAAGAUUUGGGUGUUUUGGAGUAUUAGAAGAAUCAUAAGCAUAAAUUCUCAAUCCUUGCAUUAAUGACAAGUGAUGUUUUGGCUAUCCCAAUAACAAUUGUUGCAUUUGAAUCAAUUUUUAUCUAUUGGUUCUCCUAUCCUCAAUGAGUACAAAGUUGUACCCUUCCCAAAAAAGUACAAGCUGUCAUUUUCACCAGUAAUUGGUUGCAUGGUAAUAACAUUGGUCAUUUCACUUACAAA